GAUGAACGCUGGCGGCGUGCCUAAUACAUGCAAGUCGAGCGAACGGACGAGAAGCUUGCUUCUCUGAUGUUAGCGGCGGACGGGUGAGUAACACGUGGAUAACCUACCUAUAAGACUGGGAUAACUUCGGGAAACCGGAGCUAAUACCGGAUAAUAUUUUGAACCGCAUGGUUCAAAAGUGAAAGACGGUCUUGCUGUCACUUAUAGAUGGAUCCGCGCUGCAUUAGCUAGUUGGUAAGGUAACGGCUUACCAAGGCAACGAUGCAUAGCCGACCUGAGAGGGUGAUCGGCCACACUGGAACUGAGACACGGUCCAGACUCCUACGGGAGGCAGCAGUAGGGAAUCUUCCGCAAUGGGCGAAAGCCUGACGGAGCAACGCCGCGUGAGUGAUGAAGGUCUUCGGAUCGUAAAACUCUGUUAUUAGGCAAGAACAUAUGUGUAAGUAACUGUGCACAUCUUGACGGUACCUAAUCAGAAAGCCACGGCUAACUACGU
rnacentral:rRNA from 1 species